rnacentral:RNase_P_RNA from 1 species
GGAUCAAUAAAUAGGGAGUUGCCUUGGAAUCUAUUCUGAGGAGGAAAGUCCGAACAUCACAGGGAAAAACCUUCUAAGAAAUUAGAAUCUGCGUCAGCGGAAGGCCAGUGCCACAGAAAACAUACCGUCCCGGUAGUACCGGGAUAAGGGUGAAAAGGCGAGGUAAGAGCUCACCACCCGUUUCCUGGUGAACACAUUAAGUGCGUAACAGGCGGGGUAAGGUAAACCCGGUUUGAUGCAAGGCCAAAUAGGAGUACAUAGUUUGUACUGUACGGUUUCCCGCCGUAUGUAUCCGCGGAUACGUGUACUCGGGUAGGUCGCUUAAGUGUUGCGGCAACGCAAUUCUAAGAUAAAUAGCUCCCCCCUUUACGGGUACAGAAUUCGGCUUAUUCUAUUGAUCCGGAU